AUCAAAACCCUUGUAGCGGUGUUGUAUGCAAAAAUUAUGGUACUUGUGAACUGACGACGUCCAAUGGCCAGUGUGGAUACAAGUGUAAAUGUCCAGCGUGCUAUUACGGAACAUACUGUGAAAAUUAUCAAAACCCUUGUAGCGGUGUUGUAUGCAAAAAUUAUGGUACUUGUGAACUGACGACAUCCAAUGGCCAGUGUGGAUACAAGUGUAAAUGUCCAGCGUGCUAUUACGGAACAUACUGUGAAAAUU